CACUAGGGAGAUUCUCUCUCUCUCCAUGUGGUGCUGUGCUGCAAAGUCAGCUGUCCUCACUGCCUGAUUGUCAGAUGAGCACUGCUGUGACAAAGCCACUUGGAAAAAACAGCUUGGAUCCUUCUUUGAGCUCACUGAUGUCCCCCUGUGUCUGCAACGCCAACACCCUCGUGUCUCCAGAGACUGAGGCCCCCCUUGCCAGAGAUCUGCUGUCCAAACCAGCAUGCUGUGUUAUGCCAAUCCAGUGCCUUGUCAGCGUGGCAGACAGCUGCAGUUAGAAUACAAGGCUUUUAUGUUCCACCCACCCCCUCAUCUCUCAGGUUUUAUUCCACUUCUUUGAACAGUGGACACAUUCCUGCCAGUCUCAGUGUUUUAAUUUAAUUUGGGCACAGACUAUAUAAAAUUGAACAGAUGUCUGAAAGCAGUGGAGAGAAGACCAUAAAAUGAAACACGUGCUCAGCUCCAUUUGAACCAAGCAAUGCUGUAUUUUUUUUUGUCCUCAUAGCCACAAAAGUCACACAUGACUUGGAGGUGUGUGACAAGAGGGUCGAACAUGGGAAGAAGAGGAAACUAGAAGGUGGCAGCCUUGGGGUGAUAACUGAAGUGAAACACAAGACUGUCAAGAAAUAAGCCAUUAAAAAACUUCAGGAAAAGAAUGCAAUAUGUGCUGCCAUUUUCUUUUACUUCUCUUUCUGCACCAGCUGUGGUAUUUUUUUGCAGAGAUCUAAAAGUGGAAAACAUUUUUGUUAAAAGCAGUGACAUCAAUGAAGUAAAUGAAGUGGAAUUAAACAUAAAGGUUUUCCAUCCUUUCAGUCAACUCACCUUUUCCAUCAAUAGAAACCACCAUGGCCAGCUGUUCUUUUUCAUGGCCUUGCUUUAUGUACCCAUUUGGAACAGCAACUAGCACAUUCUGUCAUCUCUCCUGCAAGGUGCAAGUACUUUUUCUGUGUUCCAUCCUGUGAAUGAGGUCAGAUCUUUCCUCACUUUGCCUGUUCCUCUCAUUUUAGAGGAGAAUAACUCCUGAGUGACUUUAUUGGGAGAAGUGGAAAACACAGAACCAAGUCCCAAAGCUGGUGUGGCCAGCAGCAAUUAAAGUGACUACAGGAAAGGAAAGGUCCAUCACAUAAUGUGAGAUUAAAAAAAAACCCAGCUAAAACCAACAUUUAAGUGCUUUAGACUUUCAGGCUUGAGGCAGCUAAUGUUACAUGUCAGGCUAAGGUUCACACCCUCCUGUUUUUGGCUGUGAGAGUCUUCCUGGAUUUUUAUGAUUUUCUGGUUUUGGGCAGGAUAUGCAGACAGAAAGAUGGGACAAAUCCAGACGUGGUUCCUGUUGAGAGGUUCUUCCAUAUGGCCCACAAGUACAUGGCACAGGUGCAUACUGGCAUGGGGCUGAGAUGAAAUUUUGCUAAUUAAUAUGUAUAGAAAUACUUUCUUUUUCUAGCUACCUCUCAGUAUCAGGACAUUCCUUCCUGAACUCACUGAUGUCUUCAGAUAUAUGUACGUAUUGUCUCUCAGACUUUGAUAUGAAAAGUAUAACAUAUAAAAGUAUGCUGAAGAAUUUGACUUCUCCAUGUAUUACACUUGAAUAAGGCUUUACAAACAGGAUAAAACCCUACCUUGUUUUUUAAAAAAAAGCAUUUUUUCUCACCUUUUGAAAUAGCCUCUUCAUGGACAGUUGAUGAGUAGUACCUUUUUGGUUAAGACUUCUUUUAACUCUGUGUCACUCUGGUGGUAACCUCUCUCUGGUGACAUAGAGCUAAUUUGUGACUUCUGAUGUGAUGAAGAAAAAUAUAAGAAUCUCCAGCUAAACAGUGGGAAUAAAUAAUAACCAUUUUUUUUAGACAAUUUCCAUCCCAAAAAUGUGACUACCCCAGAGUAUGGGACUGAUUAAUAUUUGAUGGUGAAAUGAAAGUUGAAAAACCCCCAACACCACAAAAGCAGGUAAUGAUGAUGUAGCCUGCCCAAUUUACAUGCCUUUCAGGGCUUUUCCCUUGUCUGUUUAGGCAAUGAAAACUUUGCAGUCCAUAACAUAAAGAUUUGUAACCUUUUCUGAUUUAUACUGCAUGCUAUAGCAUACUUCACUCCUUAUUCAACAUAGCAUUCAUUUUUAAAAUUCUGUGGAGUCGUUUCCUCAACAGUUUAUACCAGCAAAUUUCACAGCUUGCUCAUUACAAAUGGAAGCAAAAAAGAAAUCCUUUUUUGGGGAAGAUAAUUAGUACUUCCAACAUUCUGAUUUAUUAAAUACUAGUAGCAUUAAAUAUUCUUUAAGUGAGGAGGCUGUACAGGAUAGUUUCCAAUUUACAAUCAUGACAGAAACAUAGAGUCUCAUCACUGCAAGGGGCCUUGAGUUGUUUGAUUUAUUUCUCUGUCCAAAGGAAGAAGCAGCUGUACUGAGGUCAUUUCUGAUGAAUAUUUGGGCAAAGUGUACCUAAAGACCUCCAGUAAUGGAGACUCCAUAAUCUUCCCCGGCACUCUAUUCUGAUGCUUCAUUAUCCUCCUAGAAAUUUUUCCUGCUGUCUGCCCUGAACCUUCAAUUUGACAAUCAGCUUAAACUUAUACCUGCAGGCCAUGAUCUAAUCACUUUUUUCAUUAUAAAGUUCCAGUUAACUCACCUGCAGCCACGUAAUUGCUCUCGCUGACCUAAGGGAGGUGGUGGAAUCCUGUGCAUGGGAAAAGGAAAAGGGUGCAACUGCAAUUCACAUUUUCAGACUAUUAUUUCCUCCCCCAUCCAGCACAGAUAUCAAGAACAGCCCAUGAAGUUAUCAGUGCCUGUGACUACAGCCAACAGUGUGACAUUUGAAGCACAGGUGUCAUUAUGUACAUGCUAAGGCUCGAAAUACAAGCUUUUAAAAUAAUAAGAAGGGAAGACCUCUGCUUUGAAAAAUUUGGUCUGGGAAAUAGUUACCAAGGCUGAAAUGAUGUUGCUCAUUCAGGUCUGGUGAGAAGGAUGUGGGAGUACAUCAGUGGAGAAAGACAUGGUCAUGAAAACUCAAGGCUGGAGAAUUUUCUCUGUGUCAGAUUGCAGAGUUACACCCCCCACAGCCUGAAGGAAUGAACUUCCAGGAGGAAAAAUGGUCCACAUCAGAACAGAGCCUUGUCAAGCCCCUCUGCCAACAGGCACUCCACACUUCAUCAGGCAGUUUUUCUCAGGGAUUCUGAGAAAAUUCUCAGGGAUUCUGAGAAGAUUCAAACAGAACUUUGCUGUCUCUUAACACCUCUAGCUGCAGCUCUUUUCAUCAAGGCUACAAAAUGAAGGUGGGUGAGGAACGCAGAGGAGAAGGAAAAAAUACUAGGAUUCAUUGCCAAGUACUUUCUUUUUGUCCUUCAUUUCCUACCAGCUGAUUUG